AGAGUGCUGAAUUUUUACUACAUAUGCUCAAAAAUGCAGAGAGUAAUGCUGAACUUAAGGGCUUAGAUGUAGAUUCUCUGGUCAUUGAGAACAUCCAAGUGAACAAAGCCCCCAAGAUGCGGCGCAGGACUUACAGAGCUCACGGUCGGAUCAACCUCUACAUGAGCUCUUCCUGCCACAUUGAGAUGAUCCUUACUGAAAAAGAACAGAUUGUUCCUAAACCAGAAGAGGAGGUUGCACAGAAGAAAAAGAUAUCCCAGAAGAAACUGAAAAAAACAGAAACUAUGGCCCGGGAAUAAAUGCCGCAGAAAAUAAAUGCAAAUAAAAGUAAAAAAAAAAAAAA